AUUGAACGCUGGCGGCAGGCCUAACACAUGCAAGUCGAGCGGAUGAAGGGAGCUUGCUCCUGGAUUCAGCGGCGGACGGGUGAGUAAUGCCUAGGAAUCUGCCUGGUAGUGGGGGAUAACGUCCGGAAACGGGCGCUAAUACCGCAUACGUCCUGAGGGAGAAAGUGGGGGAUCUUCGGACCUCACGCUAUCAGAUGAGCCUAGGUCGGAUUAGCUAGUUGGUGGGGUAAAGGCCUACCAAGGCGACGAUCCGUAACUGGUCUGAGAGGAUGAUCAGUCACACUGGAACUGAGACACGGUCCAGACUCCUACGGGAGGCAGCAGUGGGGAAUAUUGGACAAUGGGCGAAAGCCUGAUCCAGCCAUGCCGCGUGUGUGAAGAAGGUCUUCGGAUUGUAAAGCACUUUAAGUUGGGAGGAAGGGCAGUAAGUUAAUACCUUGCUGUUUUGACGUUACCAACAGAUAAGCACCGGCUAACUUCGUG
rnacentral:rRNA from 1 species